rnacentral:rRNA from 1 species
GUGAGCAACCUGCCCCUGACUCUGGGAUAAGCGCUGGAAACGGCGUCUAAUACUGGAUACGAGUAGCGACCGCAUGGUCAGCUACUGGAAAGAAUUUUGGUUGGGGAUGGGCUCGCGGCCUAUCAGCUUGUUGGUGAGGUAAUGGCUCACCAAGGCGUCGACGGGUAGCCGGCCUGAGAGGGUGACCGGCCACACUGGGACUGAGACACGGCCCAGACUCCUACGGGAGGCAGCAGUGGGGAAUAUUGCACAAUGGGCGCAAGCCUGAUGCAGCAACGCCGCGUGAGGGAUGACGGCCUUCGGGUUGUAAACCUCUUUUAGCAGGGAAGAAGCGAAAGUGACGGUACCUGCAGAAAAAGCGCCGGCUAACUACGUGCCAGCAGCCGCGGUAAUACGUAGGGCGCAAGCGUUAUCCGGAAUUAUUGGGCGUAAAGAGCUCGUAGGCGGUUUGUCGCGUCUGCUGUGAAAUC